rnacentral:rRNA from 1 species
GACGAACGCUGGCGGCGUGCUUAACACAUGCAAGUCGAACGGAAAGGCCCUGCUUUUGUGGGGUGCUCGAGUGGCGAACGGGUGAGUAACACGUGAGUAACCUGCCCUUGACUUUGGGAUAACUUCAGGAAACUGGGGCUAAUACCGGAUAGGAGCUCCUGCUGCAUGGUGGGGGUUGGAAAGUUUCGGCGGUUGGGGAUGGACUCGCGGCUUAUCAGCUUGUUGGUGGGGUAGUGGCUUACCAAGGCUUUGACGGGUAGCCGGCCUGAGAGGGUGACCGGCCACAUUGGGACUGAGAUACGGCCCAGACUCCUCCGGGAGGCAGCAGUGGGGAAUAUUGCACAAUGGGCGGAAGCCUGAUGCAGCAACGCCGCGUGCGGGAUGACGGCCUUCGGGUUGUAAACCGCUUUCGCCUGUGACGAAUCGUGAGUGACGGUAAUGGGUAAAGAAGCACCGGCUAACUACGUG